AACGCGAAGAACCUUACCUACCCUUGACAUCCUCGGAAUCUUGCAGAGAUGCAGGAGUGCCUUCGGGAACCGAGAGACAGGUGCUGCAUGGCUGUCGUCAGCUCGUGUUGUGAGAUGUUGGGUUAAGUCCCGUAACGAGCGCAACCCCUGUGCCUAGUUGCCAGCGAGUAAAGUCGGGAACUCUAGGGAGACUGCCGGUGACAAACCGGAGGAAGGUGGGGAUGACGUCAAGUCAUCAUGGCCUUUAUGGGUAGGGCCACACACGUGCUACAAUGGUCGGUACAAAGGGAAGCCAACCCGCGAGGGGGAGCAAAUCUCAGAAAACCGAUCGUAGUCCGGAUUGGAGUCUGGAACUCGACUCCAUGAAGUUGGAAUCGCUAGUAAUCGCGGAUCAGAACGCCGCGGUGAAUACGUUCCCGGGCCUUGUACACACCGCUCGCGA
rnacentral:rRNA from 1 species